rnacentral:rRNA from 1 species
GACGUAGGGCGCGAGCGUUGUCCGGAUUUAUUGGGCGUAAAGAGCUCGUAGGCGGCUUGUCGCGUCGUCUGUGAAAUCCCGCGGCUCAACCGCGGGUCUGCAGUCGAUACGGGCAGGCUAGAGUUCGGUAGGGGAGACUGGAAUUCCUGGUGUAGCGGUGAAAUGCGCAGAUAUCGGGAAGAACACCCGUGGCGAAGGCGGCUCUCUGGGACGGUACUGACGCUGAGACGCGAAAGCGUGGGGAGCGAACAGG